AACGAACGCUGGCGGCGUGCCUAACACAUGCAAGUCGAACGCGAAAGUCCUUCGGGAUGAGUAAAGUGGCGCCCGGGUGAGUAACACGUAGGUGACCUGCCUUUUAGAGGGGAAUAACCAGAUGAAAAUUUGGCUAAUGCCGCAUACGAAGUACAAAUAUAAUAGUAGUACUUGAAAGGAUGCCUCUGUAUAUGCAUCCCCUAAAAGAUGGGCCUGCGGAACCUUAGCUAGUUGGUGGGGUAAAGGCCUACCCAGGCAACGAUGUUUAUCCGGUUUGAGAGGAUGAUCGGACACCCUGGAACUGAGACCCGGUCCCGACUCCUACGGGAGGCAGCCGUGGGGAAUAUUGCGCAAUGGGGGAAACCCUGACGCAGCAACGCCGCGUGAGUGAGGAAGGACUUCGGUCUGUAAAGCUCUGUUAAUGUGGAAAAAUGGUAGUUGGUUUAAUAGGCCGAUUAUUUGAUGGUACACAUAGAGGAAGCCCCGGCUAACUUCGUG
rnacentral:rRNA from 1 species